rnacentral:RNase_P_RNA from 1 species
AAAGUGGACCAGACAACCGCGGAGUACCCGUCCAGCUAAGUGGAAGGGUGCUAUGAGGAAAGUCCGGGCUCCACAGGGCAGGAUGCUGGCUAACGGCCAGGCGGGGUGACCCGACGGAAAGUGCCGCAGAAAAGAAGACUCUCACCUGCGCAUUCGCGUAAAGAGAAAAGCUGAAACGGUAGUGUAAGAGACUACCAGCAUGCUGGCAACAGCGUGGCUUGGUAAACCCCAUCCGGAGCAAACGCAAAUAGGAGCGCUAUGGUG